UACGUAGGCGGUUUCAUAAGUCAGAUGUAAAAGCGUGGGGCUCAACCCCAUAAAGCAUUUGAAACUGUGGAACUUGAGUAGUGGAGAGGAAAGUGGAAUUCCUAGUGUAGCGGUGAAAUGCGUAGAUAUUAGGAGGAGUACCAGUGGCGAAGGCGACUUUCUGGACACAAACUGACGCUGAGGUACGAAAGCAUGGGGAGCAAACA
rnacentral:rRNA from 1 species